rnacentral:misc_RNA from 1 species
CGCAUUUGGUCGUCUUGAGCUACAACGAAAUCACUCGCGAUACGAUGAUCGAAUCGCUCGGCAUCGUGACCGACGCGACAUCACGCAACUAACCAAGAUCGGUAGAACGACAUGGACGUCAAGACCUAUCGAGCCAGUUCGCUGCAAGAAGCAUUGCAACAAGUCCGCCGCGAACUCGGGCCCGAAGCAUCCGUGCUCCACACCCGGGAACUCGGCGGCGGAAUGCUGCGUUGGAUUUCAGGACGCCGUAUCGAAGUCACGGCUUCGGCGACCAUCAAGGUUCCCAGCCGGUUGCCGGCGAAGCCGUCGCCGUUUACGACGCCAACGGCGACCAUGCUGCCGCCCGCGGACUACGACGACUUCCGCGCAAAAUACCGAGCCGAUCUCAAAGGAACCGCGACCGAAUCGGACUCGCUCGUCGAACAUCUUUCGCUCGAAUCGGCCAAGUCUGGUGAACGCGAAUUGCCGGCUUCGCUCUUUCAACUGUUCACGGACCUGAUCGACGCCGAAGUUAGCGAAGAAGUUGCGCGUGAGCUGAUUGAUCGUGUGCGAACCGGGUUGUCGGCCGCCGACUUGCACGACCGCUUGCUCGUCAAAUCGCGAGCCGCGCGUUUGCUCGAAGAGGAACUGAAAUGUUGUGGCCCCAUUCGCGUGACACCGGGAGUCCGCCGGAUCGUCGCGCUGGUCGGGCCCACCGGCGUCGGCAAGACCACUACGAUCGCCAAACUCGCCGCCAACUUUCACCUCCGCGAGAAGCAGCGCGUCGGCUUGAUCACGGUCGACACAUAUCGCAUUGCGGCCGUCGAUCAACUGCGAACCUACGCGGACAUCAUCGACUUGCCGAUGGAAGUCGUUUCGACACCGCGCGAGAUGCGGGCCGCCAUCGCUCGGCUGUCGGAUCUCGAUCUGAUCCUGAUGGAUACGGCCGGCCGCAGCCCCAGAGACGACCUGCGGAUCCAAGAGUUGAAAGCGAUGUUGAACGAAGCUCGCGCCGACGAAGUCCACGUCGUACUCAGCAGCGUUGCCAGUACGGCCAGCAUGAAGCAAGCAGCCG